rnacentral:lncRNA from 12 species
AUCCCCUCAUUCUCCAGUGCUAACAGCUCAUUCCCAGUUCCAAACUCCCCAUUUCCCAGUUCCAACAGCUCAUCUCCAGUUCCAAAAUUCCCAUUUCCCAUUCCAACAGCUCAUUCCCAUUUCAAACUCCUCAUUUUCCAGGCCCAGCACCUCAUUCCCAGUUCCACACUCCUCAUUUUCCAGUCCCAGCACUCCAUUCCCAGUUCCACAGUCCUCAUUUUCCAGUCCCAGCACCUCAUUCCCAGUUCCAAACUCAUUUUCCCAUUCCAACAGCUCAAACCGAGUUCCAAACUCCUCAUUUCCCAGUUCCAGCAUCUCAUUCCUAUUUCCAAACUCCCCAUUUUCCAGUUCCAACAGCUCAUUCCCAUUUCGAACUCUUCAUUUUCCAGUUCCAGCACCUCAUUCAUAUUUCCAAACUACGCAUUUUCCAGUUCCAAGUCUCAUUCCCGCUUCCAAACUCCAAAUUUUCUGGUUCCAACAGCUCAUUCCCAUUUCAAACUCCCUCUUUCCCAGUUCCAAACUCCCCAUUUCCCAGUUCCAGCCCCUCAUUCUGAGUUCCAAGCUCCUCAUUUCCCAGUUCCAGGCUCCUCAUUUCCCAGUUCCAAGCUCCUCAUUUCCCAGUUCCAGCCCCUCAUUUCCCAGUUCCAGCCCCUCAUUCUGAGUUCCAAGCUCCUCAUUUCCCAGUUCCAGGCUCCUCAUUUCCCAGUUCCAAGCUCCUCAUUUCCCAGUUCCAGCACCUCAUUUCCGAGUUCCAAGCUCCUCAUUUCCCAGUUCCAAGCUCCUCAUUUCCCAGUUCCAGCUCCUCAUUUCCCAGUUCCAAGCUCCUCAUUUCCCAGUUCCAGCUCCUCAUUUCCCAGUUCCAAGCUCCUCAUUUCCCAGUUCCAGCUCCUCAUUUCCCAGUUCCAAGCUCCUCAUUUCCCAGUUCCAGCUCCUCAUUUCCCAGUUCCAAGCUCCUCAUUUCCCAGUUCCAGCUCCUCAUUUCCCAGUUCCAAGCUCCUCAUUUCCCAGUUCCAGCUCCUCAUUUCCCAGUUCCAAGCUCCUCAUUUCCCAGUUCCAGCUCCUCAUUUCCCAGUUCCAGCCCCUCAUUAAAAAAAAAAAAAAAAAAAAAAAAAAGCUGGAAAAAAAUGUCUCAGAAGGAAUUCUGGGACACUGACGGGGUUUUCUGACAUGUUUUGCCUCAACGAGGUGGAAAUUGUAGUGGGGGGAUAAAACAAAUGGAUAAAAUCAUCCUGGAAUUCUGCAGGGAAUAUCCUGGACACUGCUCACCUGAGUUGGACCUCCAUGGAAUCAUGGAAUGGAAUCAGCAAACCUGGAAAAGGCCCCCGAGAUGAUCAAAUCCAAUUUUGGAUCCAACACCACCUUGAUCAAUUAAACCCCAGCAGCAAAUGCCACGUCCAGUUGUUAUUAGAGGAGUUUGGAGUCCGGGAAAUUUCCUGGAGUGCCCAGAAAUUCCCUGGAUUUGCCAUAAAUGCUGAAAGGAACAGAGCUGUGAAUGGGAAUGCUGCAAACUCUCCCAAAAAAACUCUCUGUGGAGGGUUUGGGCUUCGGGAGAUGCUUGAAGCUCACCACGUUCACAUGGAGAGCCCAGAGGCACAUCCAGGUCUCAAAUCUUCCUCUGGGAUGGGCAGGGAAAGGACCAGAAUCCUUCUGUAAAUCCAUGACCAGGGUUAAUCCAAAACUCCAACCGAAUCCUCUCCUUGUGUGCAGGCCCAGCCAGCAGCAGAGGCUGAAGGGAAACCUAAAAGGUGGAAAAUCACGGAGUUUUCCCAGUCUCCAGCCCUCUGCUCGCAUGACCACAACAAAUCUCCUCCCCAGACUAGAUCUGGAUCCAUUUUAUAAUUCCUGAGCCACACUCCUCGUGCCAGAGGGAAUUUCCCGAAUUCCUUCCCAAAUCCCACAACUCCUCGUCCUCGGAAAUUCACUCACGGCCACUUUAUGCCAAAUCAAAGAUUCCAGAGUGACUCUGGGCACUGGAAAAAAAAAAAAAUCCUGGGAAGGAUAAAUGUCAGGGAAAGGUGGGAGGAAGAGGAGUUAUCUGGGAUGCAGUUUUCCCUUUGUUUCCAGGGAAAAAGGGAAAGGAAACUUCCAUUUUUUGGUCAUCAGCUGGGUGAGAAUGCCCAUGCUUGAGCCAUUCUUUAUCCUCAUCUCCAUGACGUGGGAACUGUCCUCCUUCAUCCCAAAACAGGGCCAGGCUCAGAUAAUUCAUGGAAUCAUGGAAUGGUUUGAGUGGGAAAGGACUGGAAAAUCCAUCCCAACCCCAUCCACGGGCAGGGACACCUCCCACUAUCCCAGGUCCAACCCAGUGUCCAACCUGGCCUUGGACAAUUCCAGGGAUCCAGGGGCAGCCACAGCAUCUCUGGGAAUUCCAUCCCAUCCUCUCCUCACCCUCCCAGGGACCAAUUCCUUCCCAAGAUCCCAUCCAAACCCAUCCUCUCCCAGCUUGGAGCCAUUCCCACUUGUCCUAUCACUCCGUGCCCACGGCUGUGUCCGUGCCAGGAAGAGGAGAAGUUUCC